UGUGGUAAGAGGCGGAUGGCAGCCUUAGUCCCGGGCCCUCCAGGCCUCUGGCCCACGCUGGCGGGUGAGCUGGGGGCGCCCUGGAAGAGACUGAGGGCUGUGUCUCUAGAUCUCCCGGGCCCUCUCCACGGCCACCCCUGACCAGGCCCAAGCCUUGAAGCAGCAGCAAACCUCUCCCCAGGCCCUCCUACAUGACCCACGGCGGGCCCAUCGACUGGAAUGUAUACGGACGCGGCCAUUAAGGUUUCUUGAAGCCCUUAAGAGUUCCUGGUGCUCAGACUCUUCCAGAAGGUUCUGUCCCACCUUAAAAUCUAAGUGAGGAUCCCCUGCUCCUGCUCCCACCUUUCCACAGCACAAUAAAAACAAGAUGGAACUUAAAUGAAGAACACCGAGUAUUUUCCUGGGGUUCCUGUGAGUCCUGUUCUCCCUGUUGUCAGUUUUAAUUCAUGAUCUAAUCAUUCAACGAUGCUGUCAGCUGGAAGGAAAAAGUCCCACAGGGCACAUCAUGGGAAUAUCUCUCCACCCAGGGUUCACAUAGCUUUGUCACCAUAUCUGAUCUCUGCUGCCACAGAUAACCAGCCAACAGAACUGAACGUGCAGACUUGGGAAGGCUUUCAAUUGAAUUUUUGAGAAAAAGGUUACUAUACAGACUGGUCAGCUCCUUUUGUGCCGCUACCACUAUUCUCUUGGUCCAGUAUUCCUUCCCUCAGGCCUUUCUGUGCCUUUAUAAAGAUCAGCAAUUAUUUUCAGCUCCAAGCAGGAUGCUGCCAUGCAGGGGCUCCCCAGAGGCAAUAAGUCUGGGAGAGAAGGUGGCUGA